GUGGGUAUCGCACCGGUAUCGAGGCGGAGCCGUUGAAGUGACAGCGGUUUCCCGUAUUCACCCUUAGUUCUCUAUCUGUUUGGGGAAACAAAAUGUCUAAGGUGAUGAAAUAUAACAAUCCGCGCUAGAUUUAGGUUCUGGCGCCGCAAGGCGUGGGGGUUCAAGUCCCUUCACCCGCACCA
rnacentral:tRNA from 1 species